CUCAUACAUGCAGUUGAGCGCGGCAGCAAUGCCGAGCGGCGAACGGGUGAGUAACACGUGAACAAUCCUCCCAAAGGUGGGGGACAACCAUCCCAACGGAUGGCUAAUACCGCAUAGGGUACGGGAAAGGCAUCUUCCCCAUACGAAAGAUUUAUCGCCUUUGGAUGAGUUCGCGUCCCAUUAGCUUGUUGGCGGGGUAACGGCCCACCAAGGCGACGAUGGGUAUCCGGCCUGAGAGGGUGUACGGACACAUUGGGACUGAGAUACGGCCCAGACUCCUACGGGAGGCAGCAGUAGGGAAUCUUGCGCAAUGGACGAAAGUCUGACGCAGCAACGCCAUGUGUGGGAUGAAGCAUUUCGGUGUGUAAACCACUGUCGGCAGGGAAUAAAGCUCCGUCUUUGGCGGAGGGUGAAUGUACCUGCAAAGGAAGCCCCGGCUAACUUCGUG
rnacentral:rRNA from 1 species